rnacentral:lncRNA from 1 species
GUUUGGCGUCAUUAUAGCAGGGUUUACCUGAUCUUACUGAACAAGUUUAUGCAGCUUUUCGUCUAUUGAGUUGCAUGUUUUUUUAAGACGUAUGAUAAUAAGUAUAAGUUUGUAUUAUUUUUUAAUACCGUUGGCCAUUUGCGCAAAAUCAGCUUGUUAAAAAACGCACGAUAUUUCAGUAUAGGAUGUGACGUAUGUAUCAAAUAUU